UUUCAAACCUUUGCAUUUCAUGUGUCGAUUAAAAAAUCGUAUACUUAACAUAUGAAUAUGAAAAUAAAAAUGUACUUUGUAUAGAGGGAGAAAAUGGCAGUUAGAUUGUAUUCUGUUACAAUGACAAUAAUUGUCAUUAUAACAGAAAUGACUUAUUUAUCCACAGUAUAGCUCAUGUGUAAUAUUGUGGAAAAACAAUGGAAAAGCAGAGCAGUGGAACACAACGUGUUCUGGGUGAACAGCCCCUUAUUAUUCUCAUCUGUUUUACUUACUCAGAAAGGUGAUUAAAAUAGAGCUGGAUGUUUGUUUUGAGUAUUUUCCAUAAAUUAAAAAUCAUGUCACAACAGGACAAUUCUAUUUAGAUUUCAUAUUGCAUGGUUUGCAUCAAUAUUUUGACUACUAAUAUCAAAGUUUAGGCCAUUUACAUAACAUUCCAGUAGAACAUGACAAAUAUAUAUUAUUUGUGCUCUUUUUGUCACUGAAUAAUAAGGAUAUGCACUUGAAAUCAGAUAAUGCCCUUGCUUUUAAUUACAUCUUCUUGUGUUUACAUACCAAACUACCAGCACAGUUUUCAUGGGGAAUGUGUUUCUUGAUAGCCUUUCUUGCCAAGUCUAUAUGACAAAAUUAAACUAAUGAACUUUAGUUUAAUACAACAGAAGAUUGAUUCAGUAACAUCGAGUUUAAAAUGUAUUCUUAAAGGGAUAGUUCAUAAAAAAAAAAUGUAUCAUAAUAGACUCACCCCCAAGCCAUUCCAAACCUGUAUGACUUUCUUUCUUCUGUGGAUCCCAAAAACAAUAUUCUGAAAACUGUCAGUAGGGUUCAAUAUUGUUUUGACUUUCACUGAAUGGACGAAAACAUUUCUUCGGUAUAUAGAAAAUCAUACAGGUUUGGAACAACAUGAGGGUGAGAAAAUUAUGACAGCUUUUAUUUUUGAUCGAACUACACCUUUAAUUGUGUUAGAAAAAGUAAUGUCAUAUUAGUUCAGAUGACACUUUAUAACAAAACAUGAUGAUUUAAUGUCAGAAACUGUCUGAAAUGAAAUAAAUAGUCUUUAUAAAGAAAAUAAGUGCUGGUCAAACUGAUUUAUCCCACGAGUCUGCUGCAGUUGUUAUUAUAGCAUUUCUGUGACAUUGUGCACAUGCACAGUGUGAUUUGCAUUGUGCACUGAGUGACUGUGCCCAUCUGUUUCUUUAGUGGCAAGCAUGGCAACAACAACAGUGAGUAUAAGAACAGCUGAAAUCAAUACAGUGGCUACGAGUCCUUUAUUAGCCCACAGAUACUCCAACUUCUGGUUUGAUGCAGAUUCCUUACAUUUUUCCCUCUGAAAUCGAAAAGCAAACAGAACAUAUGACGAUGAUGAAUCAGCUCUUUUAACAAAGUUUAAAAUUGUAUCAGUUUCUCCUUCCACAUUAAGCCUUU
ensembl:lncRNA